GCAGGAGCAGGAGCAGGAGCAUUAUCAGACACCAGGAGGAAGGUCCUGUGCAACUGCCUGUAUACAUAUGAGCAAGGAAACAGUCGUGCAUCAGCAACAUAUUUUUGUUCCUGAAAAUCAAGAAGUCCACAGUGAAAUGGUGAUGACAGCACUAAACAAAAAUUCUGGAGGGAAGACAGGCUGGAUGGAUGAGAUGGUUUGCUGGAGCAUCAUACAAUUUUGGUUAAAACAAUUCCCUUCUGAAGCCGGGAAGAGCAGCUUCUGCAUGGAAAAAAGUGGAAUUAAUACAGUUUAAUAUUAUUAAAUAUUAAUUUAAUUAUUAUUAAAUUAUAUUAUUAAUAUAAUAUUAAUACAGUUUGUAGUCCUACUGAAUAUGCCUCUGAGUCAAU